rnacentral:rRNA from 1 species
GACAGAGGGUGCGAGCGUUAAUCGAAAUAACUGGGCGUAAAGGGUGCGUAGGCGGUCGGGUAAGUCUGAUGUGAAAUCUCACAGCUUAACUGUGAAACUGCAUUGGAUACUAUCCGGCUAGAGGAAUGGAGGGGAGACUGGAAUACUUGGUGUAGCAGUGAAAUGCGUAGAUAUCAAGUGGAACACCAGUGGCGAAGGCGAGUCUCUGGACAUUUCCUGACGCUGAGGCACGAAAGCCAGGGGAGCAAACGGG